ACCGGGCGCGGUGGCGCACACCUGUAGCCCCAGCUACUUGGGAGGCUGAGGUGGGGGAAUCACUUCAGCCCAGGAGUUCUGGGCUGUAGUGCUCUAUGCCGAUCGGGUGUCCCCACUAAGUUCGGCAUCAAUAUGGUGACCUCCCGGGAGCGGGGGACCACCAGGUUGCCUAAGGAGGAGUGAACCGGCCCAGGUUGGAAAUGGAGCAGGGCAAAACUCCCAUGUUGAUCAGUAGUGGGAUCGCGCCUGUGAAUAGCCACUGCACUCCAGCCUGGGCAGCAUAGUGAGACCCCAUCUCA
rnacentral:SRP_RNA from 1 species